rnacentral:rRNA from 1 species
UUUUUAANNAAACCAAAUACGAGGAAAAGAAACUAACUAGGNNAUUCCCUGUAACGGCGNGUGAACCGGGAAAAGCUCAAAUUUGUAAUCUGGCUGUCUUCGAUAGUCCGAGUUGUAAUCUAUAGACGUGUUUUCCGUGCUGGACCGUAUCUAAGUCCCUUGGAACAGGGUAUCAAAGAGGGUGACAAUCCCGUGCUUGAUACGACCACCAGUGCUCUGUGAUACACGCUCUACGAGUCGAGUUGUUUGGGAAUGCAGCUCAAAAUGGGUGGUAAAUUCCAUCUAAAGCUAAAUAUUGGCGAGAGACCGAUAGCGAACAAGUACCGUGAGGGAAAGAUGAAAAGCACUUUGGAAAGAGAGUUAAACAGUACGUGAAAUUGUUGAAAGGGAAACGAUUGAAGUCAGUCGUGUUCUUUGGAUUCAGCUAGUUCUUCUAGUCUACUUCCAUUGAACGGGUCAACAUCAGUUUUGUCCGGUGGAUAAAGAUAGUAGGAAUGUAGCUCCCCCGGGAGUGUUAUAGACUAUUAUUGCAUACACUGGGUGAGACUGAGGACUNAGCUCGCCUUUUGGCCGGUCUUCGGACACGUUCGAGCUUAGGAUGUUGACAUAAUGGCUUUAAACGACCCGUCUUGAAAAACCGGGACCAAAACC